rnacentral:rRNA from 1 species
UACGGAGGGGGCUAGCGUUGUUCGGAAUUACUGGGCGUAAAGCGCACGUAGGCGGCUUUGUAAGUUAGAGGUGAAAGCCCGGGGCUCAACUCCGGAAUUGCCUUUAAGACUGCAUCGCUAGAAUUGUGGAGAGGUAAGUGAAAUUCCGAGUGUAGAGGUGAAAUUCGUAGAUAUUCGGAAGAACACCAGUGGCGAAGGCGACUUACUGGACACAUAUUGACGUUGAGGUGCGAAAGCGUGGGGAGCAAACAGG